CGGGAGGCAGCAGGUGGGGAAUAUUGCACAAUGGGCGCAAGCCUGAUGCAGCCAUGCCGCGUGUAUGAAGAAGGCCUUCGGGUUGUAAAGUACUUUCAGUCGUGAGGAAGGCGGCGUCGUUAAUAGCGGCGUUGUUUGACGUUAGCGACAGAAGAAGCACCGGCUAACUCCGUGCCAGCAGCCGCGGUAAUACGGAGGGUGCGAGCGUUAAUCGGAAUUACUGGGACGUAAAGCGCAUGCAGGUGGUUUGUUAAGUCAGAUGUGAAAGCCCCGGGGCUCAACCUCGGAAUUGCAUUUGAAACUGGCAGACUAGAGUACUGUAGAGGGGGUAGAAUUUCAGGUGUAGCGGUGAAAUGCGUAGAGAUCUGAAGGAAUACCGGUGGCGAAGGCGGCCCCCUGGACAGAUACUGACACUCAGAUGCGAAAGCGUGGGGAGCAAACAGGAUUAGAUACCCUGGUAG
rnacentral:rRNA from 1 species